rnacentral:lncRNA from 1 species
GUUAAACUUGAGGUGACAGCCGUUUCUGGGUAAAAAGACAUGCUUGGUGGAAACUCCCACAUGUUCAAGCAUCAUUUCCUUCUUAGAGACAUCAAAGAUCUGACUGAGUUGGCAAUAAAAGUAAAAGAAAAAAAAGAAAGACAAAAAGUCUUAUUCAGAUUAGCUGAUGGUAAGACUGACAGGUAGAAAGGUCUAGCGUGAACUCAGUACAACAACACAAAAAAGAAAAAACAGACAGGAAACAGGCGGAAGAGAAAGCCUAUGUUGGUUUAGCUCGACAAUCAUGAGCAGCAACUUUCUUUGCACUCUUCUCAUCCUUGCCUUCCUGGAAUCAGGCAAAUCAAAGAGUGGUGUAUCUAUCAGUCACAGUCGAGAUGGAUAUGGCCAGAACAUUACCUGUGUCCUCUCAGGGGACGAAAAUAUGACACAAAUCAAUUGGGAGAUGCUAAGAGGCCCGAAUCGCACCAAACUGGGCACGUUUCACCCACAUUUUGGAAUUUACGUAAUGCAAGAAUAUAAGCCUAAAGUGAAGAUCCAGAACAAACGGACUCCUUAUCCAUCAUCAUCCCUUCUCAUUAAAGUAGUAUCAAAUGAGAGCGUGCAAAUCUGUUGUGCGUUCAUAACAUUUCCUUCGGGUAAACUUGAGCAGUGCACUGAUAUCAGUAAGAAAGAUGUCAGUAUCAACACGUCUAUGAUAAAAGAUUUUACAUAUGUGGAACAAGAACCAAGGCUGGGAUUAUUUGGACGUUUGGGUGCAAUGAUCAUUGGAACUAUUCUUUCCCUUUUUAUCCUGACCAUCCUAUUCUACUUAUGCAGAAAAAACAGCUGUAGAAGGAGGAAGUCCUUUGAAAUACGAACAUACUUGACAGACUUACCGGCUGAGACAUUUGCUGAAGAAUCAGUUGAUGUACCAACUUCUCAAAGUUCUCCAAAUGGCUUUGACCCCUCAAAACUUUAUGCCAAGAUCAAAAAAGACCUUUUCUAUGGCCGGCUGUGGAAGUCUUACCAAGGCCAACCCAAAUCAUGGACACAAGGUACCAUGACUGAUCAAGGACAUGUUUAUCACUUAUUAUUACCGCAGAGAAAUGUGGAGGGCAGCCCUUUGAGGCCAGAUACAACAGAAUGAUUACAUUUUAGUAGUUUAUAGUUUCCAGUCUUUCCAGUGCGAUUGAGAGGAAUCUCGUCAUUUUUGUGUAAUGUAAACUAGCUUAAAGCAGAUUGCAAUGCAUUAUGUAAAGAAAAGAAUGAAUUAAUAGUUUGAACUAAUAUGAAAAUAAAUUAAUUCAUAUUUUGUUUUCAGGUUAAGAUAAAUGUUUCUAACACUGAAUAAACUUAUAAAUAAACGUUUAUGUGAGAAUCUAACAGACAUGCAAGUCUCAAGUCU